CCUGGGUGAAGGAGUUGUCACUGAAGGGGUGAAUUCUCAUCCAAAAUGUUCAGUGGUGUGGACCAGGGUUGGGAACCUCUGGUCUAGUGAGCUCUGCUGGUCUCUUUUUGUGGAGUUCAGGUCUUCAUCUGAAGAAUCCUGUAUCCUGUAGAUAGAAGAGUCUAUCUGUCUUUCGUAUAAAAGUAAAAGAUGGAGGAGGAAGCUGGACUCAGCGUGACUCAAACCCAAGUGCAAUACAUCGGAAGUGCAACGCUGUACCAGAUGAGCUGCUGUCAAGCAAGUUUACCACAUCAGAAAAGACAUAGACCUACAUAUGCAGCUAGUUAUGUGAUGCCAGCAUCAAAUUUGUUAGUUUACAAAUCAUGCACUAUUUUGAGCUCACACUAUUAGUAUAUACAACAUAGUAUUGGACCAGCAAUCACAUGAAAGUAUAUCCUUAUUAAUCGAUAAUCUUUAGAGUUCAUUUCAACUGGAAACUGCAGUGAAUUGGAUGUAUUUGUAUGUUUGUGGAGUUUUUCAAGAAUAAAGGUAGAGGCACAUUUUUCCAAUGAGCCUACUGAAUGC